UACGUAGGGGGCAAGCGUUGUCCGGAUUCAUUGGGCGUAAAGAGCGUGUAGGCGGCCAGGUAGGUCGGUUGUGAAAACUGGAGGCUCAACCUUCAGAGGUCGACCGAAACCAUCUGGCUAGAGUCCGGGAGAGGAGAGUGGAAUUCCUGGUGUAGCGGUGAAAUGCGCAGAUAUCAGGAAGAACACCCGUGGCGAAAGCGGCUCUCUGGAACGGUACUGACGCUUAGACACGAAAGCGUGGGGAGCGAACCGG
rnacentral:rRNA from 1 species